UACGGAGGGUGCAAGCGUUAUCCGGAUUCACUGGGUUUAAAGGGUGCGUAGGUGGGCAAGUAAGUCAGUGGUGAAAUCUCCGGGCUUAACCCGGAAACUGCCAUUGAUACUAUUUGUCUUGAAUAACUGUGGAGGUCAGCGAAUAUGUCAUGUAGCGGUGAAAUGCUUAGAUAUGACAUAGAACACCAAUUGCGAAGGCAGCUGGCUACACAAAUAUUGACACUGAGGCACGAAAAGCGUGGGGAUCAAACAGG
rnacentral:rRNA from 1 species